GAUGAACGCUGGCGGCGUGCCUAAUACAUGCAAGUCGAGCGAACAGACGAGGAGCUUGCUCCUCUGACGUUAGCGGCGGACGGGUGAGUAACACGUGGAUAACCUACCUAUAAGACUGGGAUAACUUCGGGAAACCGGAGCUAAUACCGGAUAAUAUAUUGAACCGCAUGGUUCAAUAGUGAAAGACGGUUUUGCUGUCACUUAUAGAUGGAUCCGCGCCGCAUUAGCUAGUUGGUAAGGUAACGGCUUACCAAGGCAACGAUGCGUAGCCGACCUGAGAGGGUGAUCGGCCACACUGGAACUGAGACACGGUCCAGACUCCUACGGGAGGCAGCAGUAGGGAAUCUUCCGCAAUGGGCGAAAGCCUGACGGAGCAACGCCGCGUGAGUGAUGGAGGUCUUCGGAUCGUAAAACUCUGUUAUUAGGGAAGAACAAAUGUGUAAGUAACUAUGCACGUCUUGACGGUGCCUAAUCAGAAAGCCACGGCUAACUACGUG
rnacentral:rRNA from 1 species